rnacentral:rRNA from 1 species
UACGUAGGGUGCAAGCGUUAUCCGGAAUUAUUGGGCGUAAAGAGCUCGUAGGCGGUUUGUCGCGUCUGCUGUGAAAACUGGAGGCUCAACCUCCAGCCUGCAGUGGGUACGGGCAGACUAGAGUGCGGUAGGGGAGAUUGGAAUUCCUGUUGUAGCGGUGGAAUGCGCAGAUAUCAGGAGGAACACCGAUGGCGAAGGCAGAUCUCUGGGCCGUAACUGACGCUGAGGAGCGAAAGCGUGGGGAGCGAACAGG